AGGAUAAUAGUUUAACAAAAACACUUGAUUUGCAUUCAAAAAAUAUUAAAUCUUUAAUUUAUCUUA
rnacentral:tRNA from 15 species